CAUGUUGUCACACCUCAUCCACAACAGUGGCUACUUCCAAGCAACGAGUGAGGCGCUUCAUCUCCCUGGGAUCCCAUGUACCCUUCUGCUUUAAAAAGAGAGGCAGCCCAAGGAACUUAAGGCCCUGAUGCCAUUCCUCUUGCAUUGUGCACAUGGUUUGUCAGCCUGGACUAAAAGGUGCACUGCUGUUUGAACGCCAUGGAAAGCUGCGUGGAAAAGCAGUGCCUCCAAGGAUGCCUUCUGUGAUCACCCCUGUUAAGCACCUGCUCUCCCUCUUUGUUGCCUUUUGCUGGCCCAGCUGCCAGGUCUGUUUUUAUAUUUGAGACUGUAGCAGUACCUUGACUGUUCACGUCCCUGUCUAUGGAGGUACUGGUGGUGAGGGCACCUGUGAGCGAAAUGGUGGCAACAGCCCUGCUAUCUAACAUUUGUCUGAAGAAAUUGGACGUUAUUCUCAGUGAACAUAAUAAGACAACUUUCCUGCACUGCCUAGAGAUGACAUUUUAAAGUAACAAGAGUUAUGUUAAACUAGAAAAAGAAAAUUAAGUGAAUGCUUGCUGGGUAUUGUGUUGAUCAGUUAAGAUCCUUUCAGUCUACACAAAUGGUUCUUCUCUGUGGCAUGGUAGGUUUGUCCUGAACCUUGUCCUUUCAUUCGUUUCAUUUUGUUUUUAUCAAACUAUCAUUUAUGAAAGCAAUCUGGCAAAUAUGGUACAAUACAGACUGACUUGUGGUAUUUCAUCUGAUCAGAUAGAUGAUGCCCAUUUCAAUUUCUGUGUGUGCCAAAGUUGAAGCCCAGUACCAUCAUUUUAUCUGCAAGCAUUAUAUGUUUACAUUUCCAGACUGUUUUAGCAGAAGUGCCUGGCUAUUUGGGGAUAAUGCAACCUGUUCGUGCUGUGUACUGUGCAUGAAAAAAGUCCACAAGCACAGGGCUUCCUGUCGAAAGGAUUUGGACACCACCAGUCUGACACCAGAGCUUUGGAGCCACAUCCCUGAAAGAUUUUCUUUGAAGUAUCAAAAGAUUUACAGGGGGCCUGUGGUCUGAACACUUCCAGUGUGGUGAAGUAGAAGAAACCAGAAACCAGUCGUGCCUUCUAAGGAAAUCUUCUGUAACAACUGUGGAGAAGGCAAAGAACCUAAAAAAAGAAAGUGCAGGUGAAUUCCAGGUCACGGCAGAGCAGAAGUCAUAGCUCAAGCUCUGAGCAGGGCAACUUGUACAUUUCCUCUCUGCUGUUUCCUAAAGAAGACAAAUACAUCUUUUUUUUUUCUUUCUGUAAGUUGUAAACUUCUGGAAAUGUUUUUGUUUUGCUUGGAG